AAAACCAUGUGGAAAGGCACAGACAGCCAGGAGGUUGGCUUAGAAGCAGCCACCCUUUAAAGAAAGCGUAAUAGCUCACUGGUCGAGUCGGUCUGCGGGGAAGAUUUAACGGGGCUAAGCACAGAACCGAAGCUUGGGGUGCAUAACUUUGUUAUGCGCGGUAGAGGAGCGUUCCGUAAGCCGUUGAAGGUGGAUUGAGAAGUCUGCUGGAGGUAUCGGAAGUGCGAAUGCUGACAUGAGUAACGAUAAUGCGGGUGAAAAACCCGCACGCCGAAAGCCCAAGGUUUCCUUGCGCAACGUUAAUCGGCGCAGGGUGAGUCGGCCCCUAAGGCGAGGACGAAAGUCGUAGUCGAUGGGAAGCAGGUUAAUAUUCCUGCACCUCGCGUAAGUGCGAUGGAGGGACGGAGAAGGUUAGGUGUACCAGGCGUUGGUUGUCCUGGGGAAAGGCGGUAGGUUUGGAUCUUUGGCAAAUCCGGGAUCCUUUAAGACCGAGCACCGAGACGAGCCUUUAUGGCAAAGUCACUGAUACCACGCUUCCAGGAAAAGCUCCUAAGCUUCAGCUUACGCAGACCGUACCGUAAACCGACACAGGUGGGUAGGAUGAGAAUUCUCAGGCGCUUGAGAGAACUCGGGUGAAGGAACUAGGCAACAUGGCACCGUAACUUCGGGAGAAGGUGCACCCUUUU
rnacentral:rRNA from 1 species